AGGUUCUCCGCUCUUCACGUACCUGCUGGUCGUACAGAGCCCAGAACAUCGGCAACGGGAUGUAGAGGACCAGAACCCUCAGAACCAUCUUUAUCUCCUGGAUCAGACGCUUCUGUGAAACCACAACAGAUGUUCUAUCAAAGGAGAUCACCUGCGUGGCAAACCAACGUUCUCCUGAAGGAACUUCUAUCUGGUUUUGAACGGGGCUCCGUUGAGUCCUGAUCCUCUUUGAGACAGAAAGGACCCUGGUGGGAGGAGACACUACCACUCUAGUCCACAUUAAAGUAGCGGCAUCUAACAAAUAGGUGGACUUCCAGAUGAGGUCAUGAAUGUUACCGAGUACUUCUCCUCGGACCAGUCCAACCAGUGCUUCCUCUUGGAGUCGUUCUUCGACCUCCGCCAGCGGCUUUUGAUGGCGAACUGUAAACGGAAACAGAAUAACGGGAGUGAAACUGCAGCAGAUGCAACGGAUUACAUGACGUGAGAGACGACAGAAGAGAGGAAAUCAUGAGCUGUGACGGGAGAAGACUCACCGCGAUGCAGCUGCAGACCUCCAGCAGGAUGUUUCCCUGAGGAGGGUUCCUCUGGUACAGCCGGCUGCCACACAUGAACACGACUGCCACACACAGAGGAGGCGUCAGGAGGAGGAGAGAGGAGUCAGGAGGAAGAGAGAGGAGUCAGGAAGAGUCAGAAGGAAGAGUCAGGAGGAGUAGAGAGGAGUCAGGAGGAAGAGUCAGGAGGAAGAGUGAGGAGGAAGAGUGAGGAGUCAGGAGGAAGAGAGGAGAAGAGUGAGGAGUCAGGAGGAAGAGAGGAGAGUCAGGAGGAGGAGAGAGGAGGAGAGGAGUCAGGAGGAAGAGUCAGGAGUCAGGAGGAGGAGAGGAGUGAGGAG
ensembl:lncRNA